GGAGAGGUCGCAUAGUGGCCUAGUGCGCCUGCUUGGAAAGCAGGUAUACCUGAAAGGGUAUCGCGAGUUCGAAUCUCGCCCUCUCCG
rnacentral:tRNA from 1 species